UUAAGCGACUAAGCGUACACGGUGGAUGCCCUGGCAGUCAGAGGCGAUGAAGGACGUGCUAAUCUGCGAUAAGCGUCGGUAAGGUGAUAUGAACCGUUAUAACCGGCGAUUUCCGAAUGGGGAAACCCAGUGUGAUUCGUCACACUAUCAUUAACUGAAUCCAUAGGUUAAUGAGGCGAACCGGGGGAACUGAAACAUCUAAGUACCCCGAGGAAAAGAAAUCAACCGAGAUUCCCCCAGUAGCGGCGAGCGAACGGGGAGCAGCCCAGAGCCUGAAUCAGUGUGUGUGUUAGUGGAAGCGUCUGGAAAGGCGUGCGAUACAGGGUGACAGCCCCGUACACAAAAAUGCACAUGCUGUGAGCUCGAUGAGUAGGGCGGGACACGUGGUAUCCUGUCUGAAUAUGGGGGGACCAUCCUCCAAGGCUAAAUACUCCUGACUGACCGAUAGUGAACCAGUACCGUGAGGGAAAGGCGAAAAGAACCCCGGCGAGGGGAGUGAAAAAGAACCUGAAACCGUGUACGUACAAGCAGUGGGAGCACAGAGCAAUCUGUGUGACUGCGUACCUUUUGUAUAAUGGGUCAGCGACUUAUAUUCUGUAGCAAGGUUAACCGAAUAGGGGAGCCGAAGGGAAACCGAGUCUUAACUGGGCGUUAAGUUGCAGGGUAUAGACCCGAAACCCGGUGAUCUAGCCAUGGGCAGGUUGAAGGUUGGGUAACACUAACUGGAGGACCGAACCGACUAAUGUUGAAAAAUUAGCGGAUGACUUGUGGCUGGGGGUGAAAGGCCAAUCAAACCGGGAGAUAGCUGGUUCUCCCCGAAAGCUAUUUAGGUAGCGCCUCGUGAAUUCAUCUCCGGGGGUAGAGCACUGUUUCGGCAAGGGGGUCAUCCCGACUUACCAACCCGAUGCAAACUGCGAAUACCGGAGAAUGUUAUCACGGGAGACACACGGCGGGUGCUAACGUCCGUCGUGAAGAGGGAAACAACCCAGACCGCCAGCUAAGGUCCCAAAGUCAUGGUUAAGUGGGAAACGAUGUGGGAAGGCCCAGACAGCCAGGAUGUUGGCUUAGAAGCAGCCAUCAUUUAAAGAAAGCGUAAUAGCUCACUGGUCGAGUCGGCCUGCGCGGAAGAUGUAACGGGGCUAAACCAUGCACCGAAGCUGCGGCAGCGACGCUUAUGCGUUGUUGGGUAGGGGAGCGUUCUGUAAGCCUGCGAAGGUGUGCUGUGAGGCAUGCUGGAGGUAUCAGAAGUGCGAAUGCUGACAUAAGUAACGAUAAAGCGGGUGAAAAGCCCGCUCGCCGGAAGACCAAGGGUUCCUGUCCAACGUUAAUCGGGGCAGGGUGAGUCGACCCCUAAGGCGAGGCCGAAAGGCGUAGUCGAUGGGAAACAGGUUAAUAUUCCUGUACUUGGUGUUACUGCGAAGGGGGGACGGAGAAGGCUAUGUUGGCCGGGCGACGGUUGUCCCGGUUUAAGCGUGUAGGCUGGUUUUCCAGGCAAAUCCGGAAAAUCAAGGCUGAGGCGUGAUGACGAGGCACUACGGUGCUGAAGCAACAAAUGCCCUGCUUCCAGGAAAAGCCUCUAAGCAUCAGGUAACAUCAAAUCGUACCCCAAACCGACACAGGUGGUCAGGUAGAGAAUACCAAGGCGCUUGAGAGAACUCGGGUGAAGGAACUAGGCAAAAUGGUGCCGUAACUUCGGGAGAAGGCACGCUGAUAUGUAGGUGAAGCGACUUGCUCGUGGAGCUGAAAUCAGUCGAAGAUACCAGCUGGCUGCAACUGUUUAUUAAAAACACAGCACUGUGCAAACACGAAAGUGGACGUAUACGGUGUGACGCCUGCCCGGUGCCGGAAGGUUAAUUGAUGGGGUCAGCGCAAGCGAAGCUCUUGAUCGAAGCCCCGGUAAACGGCGGCCGUAACUAUAACGGUCCUAAGGUAGCGAAAUUCCUUGUCGGGUAAGUUCCGACCUGCACGAAUGGCGUA
rnacentral:rRNA from 1 species